GGGGGAGGCAUCUGGUCAGGUCCCAGAGAAAAACAGUGGGAGGGUGUGGCCCUCAUCUGCGUGGUUCAAGUUUGGUUGCCUCCUUGCCAGUGUCCAGCCAGCAAGAAAGGAAAAGUGUGCAAGGGAGACACACCCGUGGUCUUGGGACUUAGGCCAGCAUGCCAUCAAGCCAUGAGGAAGCCGAGCAAGCUAUGGAGGGGAACCCCACGUUGGUGACGGCUGAUUCCCCAG